AUAUCAAUAAGCGGAGGAAAAGAAACCAACAGGGAUUGCCCUAGUAACGGCGAGUGAAGCGGCAACAGCUCAAAUUUGAAAUCUGGCCUCGGCCCGAGUUGUAAUUUGCAGAGGAAGCUUUAGGCGCGGCACCAUCUGAGUCCCCUGGAACGGGGCGCCAUAGAGGGUGAGAGCCCCGUAUAGUUGGAUGCCUAGCCUGUGUAAAGCUCCUUCGACGAGUCGAGUAGUUUGGGAAUGCUGCUCAAAAUGGGAGGUAAAUUUCUUCUAAAGCUAAAUACCGGCCAGAGACCGAUAGCGCACAAGUAGAGUGAUCGAAAGAUGAAAAGCACUUUGAAAAGAGGGUUAAAUAGCACGUGAAAUUGUUGAAAGGGAAGCGCUUGUGACCAGACUUGCGCCGGGCGGAUCAUCCGGUGUUCUCACCGGUGCACUCCGCCCGGCUCAGGCCAGCAUCGGUUCUCGCGGGGGGAUAAAGGCCCUGGGAACGUAGCUCCUCCGGGAGUGUUAUAGCCCGGGGCGUAAUGCCCUCGUGGGGACCGAGGUUCGCGCAUCUGCAAGGAUGCUGGCGUAAUGGUCAUCAGCGA
rnacentral:rRNA from 1 species